AAAAGUUUUGGUCCUGGACUUACCGUUAUUUUUUACUAAGAUUAUACAUGCAAGUCUCAGCAUACCAGUGAAAAUGCCCACAACCCCCCAAAAGGAGAACCGGAGCAGGCAUCAGGCACUACCCCUAAGCCCAUAACGCCUUGUCUUACCACGCCCCCACGGGUUUUCAGCAGUAAUAAACAUUGAGCUAUAAGUGAAAACUUGACUCAACUAUAGUACAAAGGGCUGGUUAAUUUCGUGCCAGCCACCGCGGUUAUACGAAAAGCCCAAGAUAACGGACAAACGGCGUAAAUUGUGACUAGACAUUCUUAGUAUAAAAAUAUUAAAAUCUACAAGCUAGUUGUAAAACACUUAGAUUGAAGAGAAAACCAACACAAAUAUUUUUAUACUAUUCCCUUGACCACACGAAAGCUUAGAAACAAACUAGGAUUAGAUACCCUACUAUGCUAAGCACUAAACAUUGAUAAGCACAUUCGUACCCUGCUUUCCGCCAGAGAACUACAAGUGAAAAACUUGAAACUCAAAGGACUUGGCGGUGUCCCAUACCGACCUAGAGGAGCCUGUCCUAUAACCGAUACCCCCCGUUCCACCUAACCUCCACUAGCAAACUUUCAGCCUAUAUACCGCCGUCGACAGUCUACCCCAUGAGGGUCCAACAGUAGAUAAAAUAGCCCACUUCGCUAAUACGUCAGGUCAAGGUGUAGCACAUGUUGAGGAAGAGAUUGGCUACAUUUUUUACUUUAAAAAAUACGGAAUGCAACAUGAAAACCUGCACAAAGGUGAAUUUAGUAGUAAGAUAAACAAGAGAGUUUAUCUUAACAGCGCUCUGGGACGCGCACACACCGCCCGUCACCCUCCUCAACAGCACUUACUCUUAUAUAAAGACAGAUACGCCCACUAGAGGAGGUAAGUCGUAACAUGGUAAGCGUACCGGAAGGUGUGCUUGGAAAACA
rnacentral:ncRNA from 1 species